AAUCCCACAACACACCAUUUCAUGCAAAAAUAUUUAUUGAAUUAGAUAUAUUUUAUCUAACUGAAUAAAUAUUGUUGUAUGAAAUGGUGUGCUGUGGGUUU